rnacentral:rRNA from 1 species
AUUGAACGCUGGCGGCAGGCCUAACACAUGCCAGUCGAGCGGAUGAAGGGAGCUUGCUCCUGGAUUCAGCGUCGGACGGGUGAGUAAUGCCUAGGAAUCUGCCUGGUAGUGGGGGAUAACGUCCGGAAACGGGCGCUAAUACCGCAUACGUCCUGAGGGAGAAAGUGGGGGAUCUUCGGACCUCACGCUAUCAGAUGAGCCUAGGUCGGAUUAGCUAGUUGGUGGGGUAAAGGCCUACCAAGGCGCCGAUCCGUAACUGGUCUGAGAGGAUGAUCAGUCACACUGGAACUGAGACACGGUCCAGACUCCUACGGGAGGAAGCAGUGGGGAAUAUUGGACAAUGGGCGAAAGCCUGAUCCAGCAAUGCCGCGUGUGUGAAGAAGGUCUUCGGAUUGUAAAGCACUUUAAGUUGGGAGGAAGGGCAGUAAGUUAAUACCUUGCUGUUUUGACGUUACCAACAGAAUAAGCACCGGCUAACUUCGUG